rnacentral:rRNA from 1 species
UACGUAGGGUGCAAGCGUUAAUCGGAAUUACUGGGCGUAAAGCGCGCGUAGGCGGCCCGGUAAGUCCGUUGUGAAAGUCAAAGGCUCAACCUUUGAACGCCGAUGGAUACUGCCGGGCUAGAGUCCGGAAGAGGCGAGUGGAAUUCCCGGUGUAGCGGUGGAAUGCGCAGAUAUCAGGAGGAACACCAAUAGCGAAGGCAGCUCGCUGGGACGGUACUGACGCUGAGGCGCGAAAGCGUGGGGAGCGAACAGG